rnacentral:rRNA from 1 species
CCUACGGGGAGGCAGCAGUGGGGAAUUUUCCGCAAUGGGCGAAAGCCUGACGGAGCAAUACCGCGUGAGGGAAGAAUGCCUACGGGUUGUAAACCUCUUUUAUCAGGGAGGAACAAAAUGACGUGUACCUGAUGAAUAAGCAUCGGCUAACUCUGUGCCAGCAGCCGCGGUAAGACAGAGGAUGCAAGUGUUAUCCGGAAUUACUGGGCGUAAAACGUCUGUAGGUUGUUGAACAAGUCAACUGUUAAAUCUUGAAGCUCAACUUCAAAAUCGCAGUCGAAACUGUUUGACUAGAGUAUAGUAGAGGUAAAGGGAAUUUCCAGUGGAGCGGUGAAAUGCGUAGAUAUUGGAAAGAACACCGAUGGCGAAAGCACUUUACUGGGCUAUUACUGACACUCAGAGACGACAGCUAGGGUAGCAAAUGGGAUUAGAUACCCCAGUAGCCCUAGCCGUAAACUAUGGAUACUAGAUGUUGAACAGAUCGACCUGUGNAUAUAAGUACUACGACGUAAGUAUCCGCCGUCGGAGUAUGCUCGCGAAGAGUAGAACGUACGAAAGAAAGUAGUACGGACGUGAGACGUAGCCGAACGGACGACGACGAGGGAGGUAGG